GUGAACCAUUAAAGUUGUUGUCACAUUGUCAGGAUAAUGCAACUCCUGAUCAAUAUCAGUUCUCCUUCGAUCUGUUUAAUGUUUAAUGGAGAGCAUACAUUUCUCAACAGUGCCCUGACAUAUAUAAAUGAUAGCCCAAUGCAAAGACCUUGCUCUACUUCUUCAGAGAGUCACCUCUAAAUGUAACGUCACUGGCAUGCACUACAGCAAAGAGAAGGGAACUCAGAAGCAAUCGUCCCAAAUGGCUCUAUGCAUCUCACCAUUCCAUUGUGUCAGAAGAGCCUGGACAGGAGCAGCAGCCAUGUCAUUCAGAAAAUUCCCCAGAGCAUUCAGGAAUCAGGGGACACAGCUGGGUUAACACAGAGACAUACAGCCCAGCUGCCCAGACCUUGUUAUACACUCCAGGGUGGCCCUCUCAUGCGUGAUCAUACCAUGUGUGAUGGAUGGUUUACUCUGGGCAAACCUGGCUUUUAUCAACAACAGAGUAGGGGAUCAGUUGACCGGCAUCCCAGAUUCUGAAAUUCAGGAGGUCAAGAAGAUGAAGCAAUAGCUUUGAUGUAGCUAGCCCUCCUUGUCCCCUCUGUGUCCCACCUCCUUACCACCCUCUACCAACCACCAUAGGGAUGGCACACAUACUCUUCACCCCCCUUUCCUUGACACAAUAUACAUUUAUCAGACACAACCCCACAUCCCUCCCUCUGGUCUCCCAAGCAGGGCACAGUUACAUGUUGGGUCAAUGGGUCCCUCUCACUCCAGUAGAAUGAACUACUCCCUCUGUCUCUCACCACCCUGGAAAUGGUGAGACUGAACAUGUGCCCAGUCUUUACUCUUCACAAUAUGUAACAAUAUGAAAGAGUCACUAGAGACAGCCUGAGUGGGUUUGUGCUUCCUGGGAGGAGAGAGGAAUAAUAAAAGUAACAUAUACUGCCACUCACCAUCCAAGUCUAUGCUCCAACCGCAAACACAGAAGAACAAGAAUCAGAGAUUUUAUGGAGAAGUACAGGAAGAAAUUGAUCACACACCAAAAGAAGAUGUGCUGAGAAUCAUGGGGAACUGGAAUUAGGGAACAGAGAAGAACUAGGAAUUGUGGGGAAAUGGGGCUUAGGAGAUAGAAAUGCAGCAGGAGAAAGACUGACUGAAUUCCGUGAAGCCAAUAAUUUGUUUCUUGCAAACACAUUCUUUGAGCAACCAAAAAGACGACUGUACACAGAGACAUCACCAGAUGGUCAAUAUAGGAAUCAAAUUGAUUAUAUAAUUGGUAGCAGCAAAUGGAGAAGUUUCAUACUUUCUGCAAAAACAAGACCAGGAGCAGACUGUGGUACAGAUCAUGAAGUGGUCAUAUUGAAAAGUCAGAGUAAAGCCAGAGAAGAACAACAAAGCAAUCAAAAUGCCAAAACACAAUUUAAAUAACAUCCCAGAAAAAUAUAAAGAUCAAAUAAGGAACAUAUUUGAGGCUUUAAACCUAGCUGAUAGAGAACCAGAAGAAAUAUGUAUUGGAGACAUUAUCAGGGAAGGAUGUGUUGAGGAAAUUUCAAAUGGCAAAGAAUGCCCACUGCUCACCUCAAAGCACCCGGGCAGGAGUGCGAGCUGAGAUAGAAUCCUAAUUAUUCAUUUGGCUAAGAGCCACCCAGAUAUCAAGUAAGACACAGACAACUUCUUGAUCAAAAAGGGCUUUCACACUCACACGGGCACAACAGCCUGGCAAGGAUGAGAGCAACUCUUUAUUGUUCAGCAUGACAAUAUAUAGUAUUCUGAAACGUACUAUCAAUAAACAAAAUGUAACUAAAACAAGAGAAAAGUAA